rnacentral:rRNA from 1 species
UACGUAGGGUGCAGGCGUUAAUCGGAAUUACUGGGCGUAAAGGGCGCGUAGGUGGCCUGCUUAGUCAGACGUGAAAUCCCCGGGCUUAACUCGGGAACUGCGUCUGAUACUGGAAGGCUCGAGUUCGGGAGAGGAAUGUGGAAUUCCAGGUGUAGCGGUGAAAUGCGUAGAUAUCUGGAGGAACACCGGUGGCGAAGGCGGCAUUCUGGACCGAAACUGACACUGAGGCGCGAAAGCCAGGGGAGCAAACAGG